UACGUAGGGUGCGAGCGUUGUCCGGAAUUACUGGGCGUAAAGAGCUCGUAGGUGGUUUGUCGCGUUGUUCGUGAAAACCGGGGGCUUAACCCUCGGCGUGCGGGCGAUACGGGCAGACUUGAGUACUGCAGGGGAGACUGGAAUUCCUGGUGUAGCGGUGGAAUGCGCAGAUAUCAGGAGGAACACCGGUGGCGAAGGCGGUCUCUGG
rnacentral:rRNA from 1 species